GUUUCCAUGGUCUAGUGGUAUGACGUUCGCUUCACACAGAGUCUCUGUUACUCCGCGAAAGGUCCCGGGUUCGAGCCCCGGUGGGAAUA
rnacentral:tRNA from 1 species